GCCUUCGUUGUGCAACGGUUAGCACACUCGGCGCGUAUUCGAGAGUUCCAGGUUAGAGUCCCGGCGAGGGCA
rnacentral:tRNA from 1 species